UAAGUUAAUAAGGGCGCACGGUGGAUGCCUUGGCACUAGGAGCCGACGAAGGACGUGACAAACGACGAUAUGCCUUGGGUAGCUGUAAGUAAGCGAUGAUCCAGGGAUUUCCGAAUGGGGGAACCCAACAGGUAAUACCUGUUACCUACAUCUGUUAAGGAUGUGAGGAGGAAGACGCAGUGAACUGAAACAUCUAAGUAGCUGCAGGAAGAGAAAGCAAAAGCGAUUGCCUUAGUAGCGGCGAGCGAAACGGCAGAAGGGCAAACCGAAGAGUUUACUCUUCGGGGUUGUAGGACUGCAAUGUGGACUCAAAGAUUAUAGAAGAAUGAUUUGGGAAGAUCAGCCAAAGAGAGUAAUAGCCUCGUAUUUAAAAAUAGUCUUUGUACUUAGCAGUAUCCUGAGUACGGCGGGACACGUGAAAUCCCGUCGGAGUCUGGGGGGACCAUCUCCCAACCCUAAAUACUCCCUAGUGACCGAUAGUGAACCAGUACCGUGAGGGAAAGGUGAAAAGCACCCCGGGAGGGGAGUGAAAUAGAACCUGAAACCGUGUGCCUACAACAAGUUCGAGCCCGUUAAUGGGUGAGAGCGUGCCUUUUGUAGAAUGAACCGGCGAGUUACGUUAUGAUGCGAGGUUAAGUUGAAGAGACGGAGCCGUAGGGAAACCGAGUCUGAAUGGGGCGCCUUAGUAUCAUGACGUAGACCCGAAACCAUGUGACCUACCCAUGAGCAGGUUGAAGGUGCGGUAAGACGCACUGGAGGACCGAACCAGGGCACGUUGAAAAGUGCUUGGAUGACUUGUGGGUAGCGGAGAAAUUCCAAACGAACUUGGAGAUAGCUGGUUCUCUCCGAAAUAGCUUUAGGGCUAGCGUCGACAUUAGAGAUUCUUGGAGGUAGAGCACUGUUUGGGUGAGGGGUCCAUCCCGGAUUACCAAUCUCAGAUAAACUCCGAAUGCCAAUGAAUUAUGGUCGGCAGUCAGACUGCGAGUGCUAAGAUCCGUAGUCGAAAGGGAAACAGCCCAGACCACCAGCUAAGGUCCCAAAAUAAUUGUUAAGUGGAAAAGGAUGUGGGGUUGCACAGACAACUAGGAUGUUAGCUUAGAAGCAGCUAUUCAUUCAAAGAGUGCGUAAUAGCUCACUAGUCGAGUGACCCUGCGCCGAAAAUGUACCGGGGCUAAAACAAUUUACCGAAGCUGUGGAUACCUUUAUAGGUAUGGUAGGAGAGCGUUCUAUGUGUGAUGAAGGUAUACCGUGAGGAGUGCUGGAACGCAUAGAAGUGAGAAUGCCGGUAUGAGUAGCGAAAGACAGGUGAGAAUCCUGUCCACCGUAAGACUAAGGUUUCCAGGGGAAGGCUCGUCCGCCCUGGGUUAGUCGGGACCUAAGGAGAGACCGAAAGGUGUAUCCGAUGGACAACAGGUUGAUAUUCCUGUACUAGAGUAUGUAGUGAUGGAGGGACGCAGUAGGCUAACUAAAGCAGACGAUUGGAAGAGUCUGUCUAAGCAGUGAGGUGUGAAUUGAGUCAAAUGCUUAAUUCUAUAACAUUGAGCUGUGAUGGGGAGCGAAGUUUAGUAGCGAAGUUAGUGACGUCACACUGCCAAGAAAAGCUUCUAGCGUUUAAACAUACUCUACCCGUACCGCAAACCGACACAGGUAGUCGAGGCGAGUAGCCUCAGGUGAGCGAGAGAACUCUCGUUAAGGAACUCGGCAAAAUGACCCCGUAACUUCGGGAGAAGGGGUGCUGACUUAAAGUCAGCCGCAGUGAAUAGGCCCAAGCAACUGUUUAUCAAAAACACAGCUCUCUGCUAAAUCGUAAGAUGAUGUAUAGGGGGUGACGCCUGCCCGGUGCUGGAAGGUUAAGAGGAGUGCUUAGCGUAAGCGAAGGUAUGAAUUGAAGCCCCAGUAAACGGCGGCCGUAACUAUAACGGUCCUAAGGUAGCGAAAUUCCUUGUCGGGUAAGUUCCGACCCGCACGAAAGGCGUAAUGAUUUGGGCACUGUCUCAACGAGAGACUCGGUGAAAUUUUAGUACCUGUGAAGAUGCAGGUUACCCGCGACAGGACGGAAAGACCCCAUGGAGCUUUACUGCAGUUUGAUAUUGAGUGUCUGUACCACAUGUACAGGAUAGGUAGGAGUCUAAGAGAUCGGGACGCCAGUUUCGAAGGAGACGCUGUUGGGAUACUACCCUUGUGUUAUGGCCACUCUAACCCAGAUAGGUGAUCCCUAUCGGAGACAGUGUCUGACGGGCAGUUUGACUGGGGCGGUCGCCUCCUAAAAGGUAACGGAGGCGCCCAAAGGUUCCCUCAGAAUGGUUGGAAAUCAUUCGCAGAGUGUAAAGGUAUAAGGGAGCUUGACUGCGAGAGCUACAACUCGAGCAGGGACGAAAGUCGGGCUUAGUGAUCCGGUGGUUCCGUAUGGAAGGGCCAUCGCUCAACGGAUAAAAGCUACCCUGGGGAUAACAGGCUUAUCUCCCCCAAGAGUUCACAUCGACGGGGAGGUUUGGCACCUCGAUGUCGGCUCGUCGCAUCCUGGGGCUGUAGUCGGUCCCAAGGGUUGGGCUGUUCGCCCAUUAAAGCGGCACGCGAGCUGGGUUCAGAACGUCGUGAGACAGUUCGGUCCCUAUCCGUCGCGGGCGUAGGAAAUUUGAGAGGAUCUGCUCCUAGUACGAGAGGACCAGAGUGGACUUACCGCUGGUGUACCAGUUGUCUUGCCAAAGGCAUCGCUGGGUAGCUAUGUAGGGAAGGGAUAAACGCUGAAAGCAUCUAAGUGUGAAACCCACCUCAAGAUGAGAUUUCCCAUGAUUAUAUAUCAGUAAGAGCCCUGAGAGAUGAUCAGGUAGAUAGGUUAGAAGUGGAAGUGUGGCGACACAUGUAGCGGACUAAUACUAAUAGCUCGAGGACUUAUCCA
rnacentral:rRNA from 1 species